rnacentral:rRNA from 1 species
GACGAACGCUGGCGGCGUGCUUAACACAUGCAAGUCGAACGGAAAGGCCCUGCUUUUGUGGGGUGCUCGAGUGGCGAACGGGUGAGUAACACGUGAGUAACCUGCCCUUGAAUUUGGGAUAACUUCAGGAAAAUGGGGCUAAUACCGGAUAGGAGCUCCUGCUGCAUGGUGGGGGUUGGAAAGUUUCGGCGGUUGGGGAUGGACUCGCGGCUUAUCAGCUUGAUGGUGGGGUAGUGGCUUACCAAGGCUUUGACGGGUAGCCGGCCUGAGAGGGUGACCGGCCACAUUGGGACUGAGAUACGGCCCAGACUCCUACGUGAGGCAGCAGUGGGGAAUAUUGCACAGUGGGCGGAAGCCUGAUGCAGCAACGCCGCGUGCGGGAUGACGUCCUUCGGGUUGUAAACCGCUUUCGCCUGUGACGAAGCGUGAGUGACGGUAAUGGGUAAAGAAGCACCGGCUAACUACGUG